UCGAACGGGUUCGCCGCAAGGCGAAUCAGUGGCGCAAGGGUGAGUAAGGCGACGGUAACCAACCCCAUGGUCGGGUAUAGCCGCGGGAAACUGCGGGUAAUCCCCAGCGAUGUACGACGCCGGCAUCGGCGUUGUACCAAAGCUCUGGCGCCGUGGGACGGGCCGUUGUGGUAUUAGGUAGUUGGCGGGGUAACGGCCCACCAAGCCUCUGAUGCCUACCGGGCGUGCGAGCGUGGCCCGGCACACUGGGACUGAGACACUGCCCAGACUCCUACGGGAGGCUGCAGUCGAGAAUCUUCGGCAAUGGGCGCAAGCCUGACCGAGCGACGCCGCGUGGAGGACGAAGGCCUUCGGGUUGUAAACUCCUGUCGAGGGGGAGGAAGUCCGCCUCAGGCGGAUUGACCGAUCCCUGGAGGAAGCACGGGCUAAGUUCGUGCCAGCAGCCGCGGUAAGACGAACCGUGCGAACGUUAUUCGGAAUCACUGGGCUUAAAGCGCGUGUAGGCGGAUGGGAACGUCGGUCUUUGAAAGCCCCCGGCUCAACCGGGGAAGCGGAGCCGAAACGACCGAUCUGGAGGGACGUAGGGGGACCUGGAACUUCCGGUGGAGCGGUGAAAUGCGUUGAGAUCGGAAGGAACGCCCGUGGCGAAAGCGAGGUCCUGGACGUCUGCUGACGCUGAGACGCGAAAGCUAGGGGAGCAAACGGGAUUAGAUACCC
rnacentral:rRNA from 1 species